AGGAUGAACGCUGGCGGCGUGCCUAACACAUGCAAGUCGAACGUCCUGUCUCGCAAGAGGCAGGGAGUGGCGGACGGGUGAGUACCACGUGGGUCAUCUACCGUGAGGUGAGGAAUACCGGCGAGAAAUCGCCGACAAGACCGCAUAGGCUCGAUGCAAGUCGAGCAAAGCUCUUUCGAGAGAGGGAGCGCCACACGAGGAGCCUGCGCCCGAUUAGCUAGCUGGUGGAGUAACGGUUCACCAGGGCGACGAUCGGUAGCUGGUCUGAGAGGACGAUCAGCCACACUGGGAUUGAGAACGGCCCAGACUCCUACGGGGGCAGCAGUGAGGAAUUUCGCAAUGGGGGCAACCCUGAACGAGCAACGCCGCGUGCAGGAAGAAGGUUUUCGGAUCGUAAACUGCUUUUCUCGGGGAAGAGAACGGACGGUACCCGAGGAACUCACGCCCCGGACUAACUACGUGCCAGCAGCCGC
rnacentral:rRNA from 1 species